UGUUUGUCCAGGAACAGAUCAGAUGGUGGAUGAAACCCUGGGUCAGUCCGUUAGGUGAUAUUAAACUACCAAAGAUUAGAAACCAUAACAUGACAUCAAAUGUCUUCACAUUAUUACUGGACCAGGACAUUUAGACCCGAUAUUAAACAGGAAGUCCACAAAGUCAAUUAAAAGCUGUCAGCUGAUCCAAAACUAGUUCUGAUCAGGACUAGAAAAAGAGAAUCUCUUUUUAGCUUCCCUUCAUUGACUCCUUGUUAAAAAGUCCUGAACUUCUCCUGGACAAGAGCUACAGGAACAGAACUGAUCUUCAGUCUGGAAACCUGAGUUUCCUCCUCGUCUGCAGCUCCUCUUCAUCGGUUCUUCGUUCUUUCUGUCCAUCGCUGCUUCACUCCAGACCUGGUCUGAUCAUCCAGGAAGGAUGUUCCUGUUUCUACCUGUUGCUGCCAGGUGGAUGACCUUUGACAUCAGGAUAACAAAAACACAGAAACCUUCAUUUUAAUGGGCCCCAUCCAUACUGGACCCGUCCAGCCUGACCGAACCCUGAUGGGCCCCACAAACACCUGCUGGGUGGAAACCAGCUUCAUCCGACCGGGUCAGCGUUCUUCAGCCUCCGGACCAACCAAAGACAAAGUCCUUCAUCAGACCAGCAGUUUGAUCAUAAAUGCAAAAUAUUCUGAGCUUCAUUCUGCAGAGACUCCGUUUAACCUUUGACCUCUGCUGAUGGUCAGAGUGGAUCUCUGGACGGUUUGGGAUCGGUCAGCUGAUCUCAGAAAACCUUCACUGAUCUGGUUUCUACAUUUAUGUUUACGGUAAAACAGAAAAAGCUACUUGUUGUUUACGCUCCAACAGCAGCAGGGAGGAGUUCAGUUCCUGUAAAACUCAGAGUUCACUCUGACAUCAGCGACGGUUCUUCUUGCUCUUUUACAAUAAAAUGAAGUUGUUUGUUGGAGGCCAGCUA